GAUGAACGCUGGCGGCGUGCCUAAUACAUGCAAGUCGAGCGAACAGACGAGGAGCUUGCUCCUUCGACGUUAGCGGCGGACGGGUGAGUAACACGUAGGUAACCUACCUAUAAGACUGGGAUAACUUCGGGAAACCGGAGCUAAUACCGGAUAAUAUUUCGAACCGCAUGGUUCGAUAGUGAAAGAUGGCUUUGCUAUCACUUAUAGAUGGACCUGCGCCGUAUUAGCUGGUUGGUAAGGUAACGGCUUACCAAGGCAACGAUACGUAGCCGACCUGAGAGGGUGAUCGGCCACACUGGAACUGAGACACGGUCCAGACUCCUACGGGAGGCAGCAGUAGGGAAUCUGCCGCAAUGGGCGAAAGCCUGACGGAGCAACGCCGCGUGAGUGAUGAAGGUCUUCGGAUCGUAAAACUCUGUUAUUAGGGAAGAACAAACGUGUAAGUAACUGUGCACGUCUUGACGGUACCUAAUCAGAAAGCCACGGCUAAGUACGUG
rnacentral:rRNA from 1 species